rnacentral:misc_RNA from 1 species
GACUACUGGCAGGAUCAACCAGGUAGCAUUCAUUUUYAGACCUCAAUGCAUCCCAAGGACGAACGCGGAACGGAGAGGCUCCGCGAGCUCCGAGGAAGCACGAGGGUCACCCGAGCGGGAAGCAAAGCUUCGACACGUCGAGAUCGCAACGACCAACAAAGGACCGCGCGGUAACAAGAGAUAUCUCCGUACCCAAGAGCACGCGGACGGCAUCGACGCACCGACACGAGCGGAAACGCCCAAGAGAUGGACGACCGCCCGGAGGAGAGCGCCGAUGCCCGCACGAUAUCACCCAACGCACAGGAGGCGUGGGAGAAGCAAGGGAACCAAGACGGGGACAACGAUGAAUCCAUGUACCGCAAUCGGGUAUCAAACGCAGGAACCCACCCAUCGCCCGCGACCGACCCUCGGGCCGUCGGGGCGAGCGAUCAUAUGAAACGGAUAGGACCAAAGCAGUUCGAUGCCAGAAGCACGGAGCCUGCUGUGGGAACAUAUCCUAAUUGCCACUCAUGCGUCGUCCCAACGCCGCCCGGGAGAACGUCCGACGACCCGACGCCUCCGCCCGAAGGAGGAGGGACCGGACGAACGAGACGCACCGCGAACGAGCCUGCUAGA